CUGGCUACACUUCUAACAAGGCCUCGAACUCCCCUGCUGAUGGGCCAAACCUCACCUUUGCCACCUCUCUGUGCUGCCUGUUCCUGCCACUGCAACUGCCUCGGGCCUCCUGUUCCUGGCUCCCACUGCCGUCUCGUGCUGCCUGUUCAUGCUGUUACCACUGCUCAGGGUGACUGCCAUCGACAUAGGGGACCUCUCUCACCGCCAUGUUGGACUCACCCUCCCUGCAGUGGCUCAAUCUCCUCUGUACUGCACAAAUUAAUACUUCACAUACUGCUCUAUUCAGAUCAAAGAAAAAGUGGGAGGUCCUUCAUUAAACCACAUUAAAGGAGGGAAUCUCUUAUUUAAACCAUGAGAAUUAUCCAGCAAAUCCCCUAAAGUAUCUCCCAUGUGAGUUCCACCAAUGGUUCCAUUGAUCAAUGAACCGCAAGAGCCAAAAUGAACUUCACAGAGCAAGAAAGUACCAUGUAUUUAUUGAGCUAUUCUCAGCUGGGUGACUGGGGUGUGUGAUUGGGGGAUGACAUGGUGUGGAGCUGGAUGAACACAGCAGGCCAAGCACCAUUAGAGCAGCAGGAAAGCUGAUGUUUCGGGCCUAGACCCUUCUUCAGAAAUGGGGUGUGUGAAUGUUGGAAUUUGCAACAGGACCAGACCUAUAAUCGAAUAACCACCAUAUGCUCUAUGGUAACUUUUUAAAAUGUUUCAAGCUCAGAAUUUCUUUUCUGGCAUAAAGCAUAUAGCUCCCUGUAGUAAGAAAGAGUUUUCUGAUCAAUAUUAGCAAAAGUUAACAAUCACACCUUAAUCCUGGCUAGUGAAGGGUGCAGCAGUUUGUGGAGUAUCAAUAGUGCAUCUGUACAUUCUACAUGCUCCUGGCCAACAGGAAGGAGCCUGUGAAACAUCAGUCUUUCUGCAGUUGUUACCUUGUUUUGUAGUUUUUCUUCAAGACAAUUGAAAGAAUGGGGUCAGUAGCAGUGCUGAUAUAAUUCACACAAUAUUUGAUCUUUUUCAAUUUCAUU